rnacentral:rRNA from 1 species
AAUGAACGUUGGCGGCGUGGAUUAGGCAUGCAAGUCGCGCGAGAACUGUAGCAAUACAGGGAAAGCGGCGUAAGGGACAGUAAUACCUAGAAACGUACCCCCGGGUCUGGGAUAGCGGCGGGAAACUGCCGGUAAUACCAGAUAACGUCUCCGGACCAAAGGUGUGAUUCCACCUGGGGAGCGGUCUAGGCCCUAUUAGCUUGUUGGUGGGGUAACGGCCUACCAAGGAAAAGAUGGGUAGCAGGUGUGAGAGCACGACCUGCGUCACUGGGACUGAGACACUGCCCAGACACCUACGGGUGGCUGCAGUCGAGAAUCUUCGGCAAUGGGCGCAAGCCUGACCGAGCGACGCCGCGUGCGGGAUGAAGGCCUUCGGGUUGUAAACCGCUGUCGAAGGGGAUGAAAUUCCGGAGGGUUCUCUCUCCGGAUUGACAGAUCCUUGGAGGAAGGACGGGCUAAGUUCGUGCCAGCCGCCGCGGUAAAAC